rnacentral:lncRNA from 1 species
CUCCCCUUUCCGUGGAGAGACUAUCAACUCCAUCUGUCACAAAAAUUAAGGCUAAAUCUCCUCUCCAGAAGCAGAGGGAGCCGGGGCUCCGACGCGCUCAGCGUCGGGCUGUCUGCCUCUCCCUAGAGGCCAAGUGAAUUUGAAAUGGCAAAAGUCACAGCCGGAGGCCCAGCACUAGGAGAUUCCUCCGGCUGCGGGAAAUCUUCCUGUACCUGCUGAAGCUGCUGCGUUCCUCAGAGGCGCUUGGUCUGCCGUGGGAAGCUGCACCUCUGCAGUCCCCAAAACCAAAAUCAAACCUUAAAAGAGCCAGACUGAGAAGCCAGUCACCACGUAAGACAUCUGGACCACCUUCAGACUCGCAUGCUGUGAGGAAGCCCAUGCUUACUAUGUGUAGAGGAUACAUGGAGAAGGAAAGAGAUGCCUGGCCAGCUCCCUGCUGUUUCAGCCAUGUGAGUGAAGAAGGCACCAGACUUGUGAGUGGAGACACUAACUUGGAUGUCCAGCCCAGCUGAACCUUCAGGUGACUCCAGCUCUAGCUGCCAUCCUACUGAAGACACAUGAGAGAGACCCCAAGCCAGGGUCAAGAUCAGCGUGAAGCAAGUGAGGCAUUUUGGUGCAAAAUGUAAGGAGGCAUUGACCUUCAUAAUUGGGCUCCAAGACUCCAAGAGUGAGUGCCUCCUUAAAUUUUGUACUUUAGACACUACACUCACCUUUCUCUAGUUCUGGUCUUGCCUCAAGCAAGAAGAGCAGAGCUUAGCUCAGUCAACCCAAAGAAUCCUGAGAAAUAACAAAAAAAUAUUCUUUUAAGCCACUCAGUUUUGAGAUGGUUUGUUAUGCAACAAUAGAGCAUUAGAACUUUUCUUCCUGUCCAAUUGCUUAGGUGAAAGAUGCUAGUAUCUGCCUGAAUUCUUUCCUUUUCUUCACAUUCUACAUUCAAUUAAUGGCUCAUCAUAGGUGUCAAUAAAAUAUUUGAUAAGUU